GAUGAACGCUAGCGGCAGGCCUAAUACAUGCAAGUCGAACGGUAAGGCCCUUUCGGGGGUACGACGAGUGGCGGACGGGUGCGUAACGCGUAUGCAACAUGCCUUCCAGCGGGGGAGUAUACCAGGGAAACUUGGCGCAAUACCCCACUAGAAUUACGGGACCGGCAUGGUCUUGUGAUUAAAACUACCGGUGCUGGGAGGAUUGGCAUGCGUGACAUUAGCUAGUUGGCGGGGUAACGGGCCCACCCAAGGCGACGAUGUCUAGCUGGUCUGAGAGGAGUGAUCAGCCACACUGGGACGUGAGACACGGCCCACGACUCCUACGGGAGGGCAGCAGUA
rnacentral:rRNA from 1 species